rnacentral:rRNA from 1 species
GUUAAAGACGAUGACGUUGAUAGGCCGGGUGUGUAAGCGCAGCGAUGCGUUGAGCUAACCGGUACUAAUGAACCGUGAGGCUUAACCUU